rnacentral:lncRNA from 10 species
AUUUACUUUUAAACAAAAUUUUGCAUCAUUACACUUAAAAUUUUAUUUACCUUUUAAAAAGGAAAUUAAAAAUAAAAUUAAAAAUUAUAAAAUUUUACAUAAUAAAAAUAAAAUAAAUGAUUUAUAUAAAAAUUAAUCUGACCUGUGAAAAACACUAUCCAGUGGCCAAACACGGUGGCUAACGCUUGUAAUCCCAGCACUUUGGGAGGCUGAGGUGGGUGGAUCACGAGGUCAGGUGAUCUAGACCACGAUGAAACCCCUCUCUACCAAAAAUACAAAAAAUUAGCCGGGUGUAGUGGCGGGCGCCUGUAGUCCCAGCCACUAGGAGAGGCUGAGGCAGGAGAAUGGCGUGAACCCGGGAGGCGGAGAUUGCAGUGAGCCGAGAUCGUGCCACUGCAAUCCAGCCUGGGUGACAGAGCCAGACUCUGUCAAAAAAAAAAAAAAAAAAAAAAAAAGAAAGAAAGAAAAACGCUAUCGAGAGAAUAAAAAGACAAAUCACAGACUGGGAGUAAAAAUUUACAAAAGCUAUAUCUGGUGAAGAUACAUUUGUUAUCCAAAAUAUACAAAGAACUCUCAGGACUCAAUAAUAGGAAAACAAAUAGUCUAACACAAAUGUAGAGAUCUGAACAGACAUUUCACCAUAGAAUACAGAUGGAUGAUACGUAAGCACAUUGAAAGAUGUUCAACAUCAUUCAUCAUUAGGGAAAUGUAAAUUAAAACUACAAUGAGAUACUGCCACAUGCCUAUUAGAAUAGCUAAAAUUUAAAAGACUGACCAUACUAAACAUUGGUGAGAACACAAAGAAACAGGAAUGCUCAUACACCGCUGCUGGAAAUACAGCCACUUUGUCAGUUUCUUUAAAAGUUAAACUGGCCGGGAGUGGUGGCUCACACCUGUAAUCCCAGCACUUUGGGAGGCCAAGGCUGGCGGAUGACGAGGUCGGGAAAUCGAGACCAUCCUAGCUAACACGGUGAAACCCCGUAUCUAAUAAAAAUACAAAAAAUUAGCCGGGCGUGGUGGCGAGCGCCUGUAAUCCCAGCUACUCCGGAGGCUGAGGCAGGAGAAUGACGUGGACCCGGGAGGCGGAGAUUUCAGUGAGCCGCGAUGCACCACUGCACUCCAGCCUGGGCCUGGGCGACAGAGCGAGACUCCGUCUCAAAAAAAAAAAAAAAAAAAAAUUGAACAUAUCACACCACCUAGUCAUUCAAAUCCUGCUUAUUUGCCCAAGACAAAUGAAAGCGUAUGUCCAAACGAUUGGACAAACAUUCGUAGCAACUUUAUUUGAAAUAGUAAAAACAACUGGAAGCAAACCAAAUGUCCAUCAAGAGGUGAAUAGAUACACUAACUAUAGAAUAUCCAUACAAUAAAACUAUUUUUUUUAAACUACGGGGCAAAAAACAAAAAAACCAAAGAUAGAAUCUAACUUCUUGGUAAAUACAUUCACUAUUAGGGUUUUUAUAACAGAGAAGUCAUUCUUUAUUAACACUCUUUUGACUAUGAAAAUAUUUUGACAUCAAAAAUCUGCAAAAUAUGAAGAAACAAAGGACACACAGCUUUUUCUAUUUUUUAUUUUUAUUUUAUUUUUAUUUUUUUGAGAAGGAGUCUCUUUCUGUCACCCAGGCUGGAGUGCAGUGGCGCGAUCUUAGCUCACUGCAAGCUGCGCCUCCCGGUUCACGCCAUUCUCCUGCCUCAGUCUCCCGAAUAGCUGGGACUACAGGCGCCGGCCACCAAUCCCGGCUAAUUUUUUGUAUUUUUAGUAGAGACGGGGUUUCACCGUUAGCCAGGAUGGUCUCAAUCUCCUGACCUCGUGAUCUGCCCGCCUCGGCCUCUCAAAGUGCUGGGAUUACAGGCGUGAGCCACCGCCCCUGGCCCCAGGACACACAGCUUUAAAAUUUCUCCUUGGUCUCACCCAGUGCCAACCACCUAAAACCUCUCAUUUUCCCCCAGACAUUUCUUCUGCCUCCAGGAUGGAGGUAGAGAAUCUUGGCCUUGGGCCACGCACUGGGGACCAUGCUGGGCUGCCGUGGUCAGUGACGGACUCAGGUUCUCACCAGGAUGCCCAAAAUAGGCCUCUGAAAAAAAUCUUACCAUCAGGGUGCGCUCCCUGAUUCUUGUGUCUGCUGGAAGGAGGAAAUCAAGCCAGGAACAUUGCCAGGAUAGAGAUGAAAAUGGGGCUCACUUUUCUGUCUCUUGUGAUGUCAGACAAGCCUUUCAGCUCUGUCUCCUCAGCCCUCAUGGAAUUGUUUGGUGUGGACGCACCGAGAUUCUGAACUGGGUCCCCUUUCCCUCCGCCCUUCUCUGGGGCCAGAUUCUGAGCUCUCCAUUCCAAUUUUUCCCCCAAUUUGCCCUUGCAUUUAUUUAUCUGGAUUACUGUCUGCCUGUCCCAAAGAAUAAAAGCUUUAUCACAGUGGGGACUUUGUUUAAAAAAAAAAAUAACAGCUAUAUUUUUAGGAUCCAUGACACUGUCCAGCAUAUCGGUGGUAUCUGAUAAAAAAUGUUUGUUGACUGAAUGAACAAAUAUAUUAUUCACAAUUCACAUUAUCCUGAACUGGCUAGAAAAUUAAAUAUCUGAUAUCAGUAUUGGCAACAUUAUGAAGUAAAUAUAAUUCUGAUACAGUGCUUGUGAAAGUCUAAUAUGAAAUGCUCAUUUUAGAAAACAUUUUCUUGUAGAUUUGAAAAUGUUUCAUCUCCAUGAACCAGUUGUAUAUCUGCAAGUUGUGUAUCUUUGGGUUAGGCAGAAUAAUUGCCCCCCACCAAAGACAGCCACAUCCCAGUCUUCAGAUAAGGUGAACAUGCUAACGUAAGUUAGCAUGUUCAAAGGGACUUGGCAGAUGUGAUUACCAUUAAGGUCAUUGAAAUGGGGAAGUUACCUUGAAUUACCUUGGUGAGCCAAUCUAAUCUCAUAAUUCCUUGAGAGCAGAGAAUAUUUUCUGGAUGCUGAGAUUCAGACAGAUGGCAGUAUGAGAAAGAUGUGGCCUGCUAUUACUGGCUUUUAAAACAGUGGUAGGGGGCCACAAGCCAAGGAAAGCCAGUGACCUUUAGAAGCUGGGAAUGACCCAAAGUUUACAACCAGGAAGAAACUGAGGAUCUACAACCACAAGGAACGGAAUUCUGCCAACAACCCAGAUGCUCUUUUAGAGCCUUUAGAAAGAAAUGCAGCCUGCCAACAUCUUGAUAUUAGUUCAGUGAGAGCCAUGCCAGAUUUCCAACCAAAACAAUUCUAAGACAAUAAGUUUGUGUGUGUUUUUUAAAACUGACUCAAAUCUCACAAAAAUGUGUUAUUUUAAGCCACUGAAUUUGUGGUAAAUUGUUACAGCAGGAACAGAAAACUGAUACAACCCUAGAGAAAGUCUUGUACAUGUGCCCUAUAAACACACAGCAGAAUUUUUUUAAUUUUUUAUUGAGUUAAAAAAUAUAUAUAUAAUUUACCAUCUGUACAUUUUUAGAGGACAGUUUAGUGGUGAUAAAUACAUUUAUAUUUUCUUCUCUUAAUCUCCUCUUCCCACUCCCCUUGCUGGCCUCUAGCAACCACCGAUUUACUUUCUAUCUUCAUGAGAUCCACUUUUUUACUGCCCACAUAUGAGUGACAACAUGUGGUAUUUGCCUUUCUGUGCUUGGCUCAUUCCACUUAACACAAUG